UGGCUCAGUGGUUAAGAGCACUUGGCUGCCUUUACAAAGGACCUGGGUUCGAUUCCCAG
rnacentral:tRNA from 1 species